rnacentral:rRNA from 1 species
UAACACUGGGGAACCUGCCCCAUAGUCUGGGAUACCACUUGGAAACAGGUGCUAAUACCGGAUAAGAAAGCGGAUCGCAUGAUCAGCUUUUAAAAGGCGGCGUAAGCUGUCGCUAUGGGAUGGCCCCGCGGUGCAUUAGCUAGUUGGUAAGGUAAAGGCUUACCAAGGCGAUGAUGCAUAGCCGAGUUUAGAGACUGAUCGGCCACAUUGGGACUGAGACACGGCCCAAACUCCUACGGGAGGCAGCAGCA